rnacentral:rRNA from 1 species
CACGUAGGGGGCGAGCGUUGUCCGGAAUUACUGGGCGUAAAGGGCGUGUAGGCGGCCUUACAAGUCAGCUGUGAAAUUCCCGGGCUCAACCUGGGGAUGGCAGUUGAAACUGUCGGGCUUGAGUGCAGGAGAGGAGAGUGGAAUUCCUAGUGUAGCGGUGAUAUGCGUAGAUAUUAGGAGGAACACCAGUGGCGAAGGCGGCUCUCUGGACUGCAACUGACGCUGAGGCGCGAAAGCGUGGGGAG